CGAGCAUUAGCGCAGUUUGGUAGCGCAUUCGCUUUGGGAGCGAAGGGUCGUAGGUUCAAAUCCUACAUGCUCGA
rnacentral:tRNA from 1 species